rnacentral:rRNA from 1 species
UACGUAGGGUGCAAGCGUUAAUCGGAAUUACUGGGCGUAAAGCGCGCGUAGGUGGUUCAGUAAGUUGGAUGUGAAAUCCCCGGGCUCAACCUGGGAACUGCAUCCAAAACUGCUGAGCUAGAGUACGGUAGAGGGUAGUGGAAUUUCCUGUGUAGCGGUGAAAUGCGUAGAUAUAGGAAGGAACACCAGUGGCGAAGGCGACCACCUGGACUGAUACUGACACUGAGGUGCGAAAGCGUGGGGAGCAAACAGG